rnacentral:siRNA from 1 species
AUCGGCGGCAGUGGUGGCCCAACC